rnacentral:tRNA from 1 species
GGGGAUUUAGCUCAGUGGUAGAGCGCUUGCAGCAAGCGCAAGGCCCUGGGUUCAGUCCCCA